GAUGAACGCUAGCUACAGGCUUAACACAUGCAAGUCGAGGGGUAACAAGAGGAAAGCUUGCUUUUCUUGUUGACGACCGGCGCACGGGUGAGUAACGCGUAUCCAACCUGCCUAUAACUAGGGAAUAACCUUGCGAAAGUAAGACUAAUACCCUAUGAUUUCCUUUGAUGACAUCAGAUUAGGAAUAAAGAUUUAUCGGUUAUAGAUGGGGAUGCGUCUGAUUAGCUUGUUGGCGGGGUAACGGCCCACCAAGGCAACGAUCAGUAGGGGUUCGGAGAGGAAGGUCCCCCACAUUGGAACUGAGAAACGGUCCAAACUCCUACGGGAGGCAGCAGUGAGGAAUAUUGGUCAAUGGGCGGAAGCCUGAACCAGCCAAGUAGCGGGCAGGAUGACGGCCCUAUGGGUUGUAAACUGCUUUUAUACAGGAAUAAAGUUAGCCACGUGUGGUUAUUUGUAGGUACUGUAUGAAUAAGGACCGGCUAAUUCCGUGCCAGCAGCCGCCGUAA
rnacentral:rRNA from 1 species